rnacentral:rRNA from 1 species
UACAGAGGUCUCAAGCGUUGUUCGGAAUCACUGGGCGUAAAGGGUGCGUAGGCCGCACGGUAAGUCAGAGGUGAAAUCCCGGAGCUCAACUCCGGAAUGGCCUCCGAUACUGCCGUGCUCGAGGACUGGAGAGGAGUCUGGAAUUCACAGUGGAGCAGUGAAAUGCGUAGAUAUUGUGAGGAACACUAGUGGCGAAGGCGAGACUCUGGACAAUUCCUGACGCUGAGGCACGAAGGCCAGGGGAGCAAACGGG